rnacentral:rRNA from 1 species
AUUGAACGCUGGCGGCAUGCCUUACACAUGCAAGUCGAACGGUAACGCGGGGCAACCUGGCGACGAGUGGCGAACGGGUGAGUAAUGCAUCGGAACGUGCCCAGUAGUGGGGGAUAGCCCGGCGAAAGCCGGAUUAAUACCGCAUACGACCUACGGGUGAAAGCGGGGGAUCGCAAGACCUCGCGCUAUUGGAGCGGCCGAUGUCAGAUUAGGUAGUUGGUGGGGUAAAGGCCUACCAAGCCUUCGAUCUGUAGCUGGUCUGAGAGGACGACCAGCCACACUGGGCAUGCGACACGGCCCCGACUCCUACGGGAGGCAGCAGUGGGGAAUUUUGGACAAUGGGCGCAAGCCUGAUCCAGCCAUGCCGCGUGCGGGAAGAAGGCCUUCGGGUUGUAAACCGCUUUUGUCAGGGAAGAAACGCUCCGGGCUAAUACCCUGGGGUAAUGACGGUACCUGAAGAAUAAGCACCGGCUAACUACGUGCCAGCAGCCGCGGUAACAC